rnacentral:lncRNA from 1 species
AGUUUGGCGGUUCCGGUACCGCUCUCACAUUGGGGCGGGAUGUGGGAGCGGCUGAACUGCGCAGCAGAGGACUUUUAUUCUCGUCUCCUUCAGCUGAUGUCCAAGUGCAGUUGAUCAGCAAAGGCCAACCAAACCCUUUGAAAAAUAUUCUAAAUGAAAAUGACAUAGUAUUCAUAGUGGAAAAAGUGCCUUUAGAAAAGGAAGAAACAAGUCAUAUUGAAGAACUUCAAUCUGAAGAAACUGCCAUAUCUGAUUUCUCUACUGGCGAAAAUGUUGGACCACUUGCUUUACCAGUUGGGAAGGCAAGGCAGUUAAUUGGACUUUACACCAUGGCUCACAAUCCUAAUAUGACCCAUUUGAAGAUUAAUCUGCCAGUUACUGCCCUUCCUCCCCUUUGGGUAAGAUGUGACAGUUCAGAUCCUGAAGGUACUUGUUGGCUAGGAGCUGAGCUUAUCACAACAAACAACAGCAUUACAGGAAUUGUCUUAUAUGUGGUCAGUUGUAAAGCUGAUAAAAAUUAUUCUGUAAAUCUUGAAAACCUAAAAAAUUUACACAAGAAAAGACAUCACUUGUCUACUGUAA